rnacentral:misc_RNA from 1 species
GAUGAAGAACGCAGCGAAAUGCGAUAAGUAAUGUGAAUUGCAGAAUUCAGUGAAUCAUCGAAUCUUUGAACGCACCUUGCACCCUUUGGACUGCUCCAAAGGGUAUGCUCGUUUGAGUGUCAUUGUACUCUCACACUCUCUGAUCCUUUGGAUUUGGGGAGCAGUGGACUUGGGUGCUUGCUGCUUCCUUGUGGCUCACCUGACAUGCAUCAGUGCAUCUCUCGAUUGGACAUAGUACGGCGUGAUAAGUGUCUUCGCCGGCACCUCAUAUGAGGGUGGCCGAUCGGGAGCUCUGUGCUUUCAAACCGUCUUCGGACAACGCUGACAACUUGACCUCAAAUCGAGUAGGACUACCCGCUGAACUUAAGCAUAUCAAUAAGCGGAGGA